rnacentral:rRNA from 1 species
UACGGGGGGGGCAAGCGUUGUUCGGAAUUACUGGGCGUAAAGGGCGCGUAGGCGGUGCUCUAAGUCGGAUGUGAAAACUCUGGGCUCAACCCAGAGCCUGCAUCCGAAACUGGAGUGCUAGAGUUCUGGAGGGGGUAGCGGAAUUCCUGGUGUAGCGGUGAAAUGCGUAGAUAUCAGGAAGAACACCGGUGGCGAAGGCGGCUCGCUGGGCCAGUUCUGACACUCAUCCGCGAAAGCGUGGGGAGCAAACAGG